UACGUAGGUGACCAGCGUUGUCCGGAUUUACUGGGCGUAAAGAGCGCGCAGGCGGUCGUUCAAGUCGAGUGUGAAAGCCCCCGGCUCAACUGGGGAGGGUCACUUGAUACUGAUCGACUCGAAGGCAGGAGAGGGAAGCGGAAUUCCCGGUGUAGUGGUGAAAUGCGUAGAUAUCGGGAGGAACACCUGUGGCGAAAGCGGCGCACUGGACCACAACUGACGCUGAGGCGCGAAAGCUAGGGGAGCAAACAGG
rnacentral:rRNA from 1 species